GCGUCGGUCGUAUAGUGGCAAUUACAGAAGACUGUAAAUCUUCCGCCUUCGGGCUCCGCUGGUUCGAGUCCAGCCCGGCGCACUA
rnacentral:tRNA from 1 species